AGUUUUUGGGGAGUCAAAAAUCAUAUGUGGAUUUUUGACUUUGCAGGGCUCAGUGCCCAUCAUGUCCGCAUUGUUCAAAGCUCAACUGUACUUUAUUAUAGUGUCUUUUAUUGUUAAUUUGCAAUCUAAUAAGAUCUUGACUGUUUUUUUUGGGCCUACCAGAUCUGACUAUAGAUUUUUUUGUUCUUGAUACCUGUAUAGGACAGGAAUGAUGACUAAAACAUACUUCUCAAUAUGUAUCAUUGCCAACUCAGUUUCUCUUCCUGCAUCCCUUCUGACACCAACAUUAGGCCAUGAGGCUUUGUGCCCAUGGGAACAAUGGCACAGGGGAGGUCCUGUCCAAGAAAUAAAGCACUUUAGGGGAGGAGAGUGCAGACCAAAGAGGAAGGCACAGACGUCGGAUGCCUGUAUCCUCACGUCCUCCUCCUGUUAAGAGAAUUCAUGGAAUACCAGUGGCUACUGUCAUGCUCAACAAAGCAAGCACUGAGUUUAGUUACCUCCCAGGCCAAAGGAAUACAGAGCAAUGAAUAUACUUUCUGAAGAGGAAGAGUCAGGGGUUUCUGUGCACUAGGAAGGGAGGAGGUUCUUGGUGUUUACAGUAAUUCAUAAUUGAAAGGUUUUACUCUGGCAAAGUCAGAAUGUGUCUAUUAAUCUGUGUAUGCUUGGUUAAAACAAGCCGAGUUGCUCGUUGGUUAGGAGUGUUAGGUCCAGUAAGGGUCUGAGGAACUGGGGUCACUCCCAGUUCUUAGUUGCCCAUCUGUGUUCUUUGGGUAGUGGUGGUGGUGUUGCUAAAGGUCAUGGUUAUUUUACAACUUCAAUUGGUUAAAAUCUGUUGUAGUGAAACAAAGCAAGUGCAGCUGUCAGAAGAAAAUAUUGUUUUCUCCUUUGAUAAGGUGGAGGCUUGGGAAGGAGGCUUGGGAAAUAGAGCAGGUUGUGACAGAUAUACACUGCUACGAAAGGGAACACACUGGGCUAGUGGCCCUAUCCUCUAGCUCCCCUGGUAAUCUUGGGAAGGGAAGCUGCAAGACUUGAGGAGAAGCCGGCUUUGGCUUGGCAGUGUGUCCAAUGUGUCUGGGGAGCCAUAGCAGCUUGGCUUUGGGGAUCUGAGGCAGAGCUCCGAGCUCCCCGAAGCUUGCUGUAGUGUAGACUCUAGCAGGGAAUAAUUGCAUAAUGACCCCAAAGGCCAGAUGGGACAAGUAGUAUCCCAAAAGGCAAAAGGUCAGGAAUGGGCCAGACCAGCUACCAGCAAUGAAUAGGUCACACUGUGAAGGUCAUAGCCCUCUUUUCCAUCGCCAUGAGCUGUUUGGGGAGAGAGAAUGAACAGAAUUCUCUUUCUCUCUCAAAAAAUGAAUUAUCAAAAGACAUGGUAUGAAAGGGAAGAGCCUGAGAUAAUAUUAAUUGGCAAGUUUGUUUUUUCACCUGCUUCUCAACAGGAUCCAAGCUUGGAGGAAGAAUAGAUCAGUCAUAGGAAAUAAGCCACACUUUCCUUGAAAAGCUGAGUAGUAGUGUGCAAAUUUAUGAUUCUGCUAUAUACAUAUAAUUCAAUAUUUAUAUGAAAACAUUUAAACUUAAUGUUCUAUAAUUUGAAAGUGAACAAACCACUAAAUUCCAUUUCAGGGUCUUUAUCACAUGUUACCAUUCCAGCCCUCUGUCUAAUCCCCUCAUGUGGCUAUAGAGCUGUAAAUGAGCUGUGAGUCCUCAGUGACCUGUGUGUCCUCUCUGUUCAGCCCUCUCCCAGGCUUCAGGUUGCUCAGGAUCAAAGCCUCUGCUAGCUUUGUUUUCCCCUAGAAAGUCUCUUUACUUUUGGUCUCUUCCUCUGAGUAACUAAGAAGAGGAGCAAGAGACUGCAUCUACUUCUUCACUAAAAUCAGAUUUUCUACCCAAGAGGGAAUGUGCAAAACCCUCUUUCUGCUUGGAAAGAAUAAUAGGUGUGUAAUUUGGGUCUCUCCAAUCACAUGAGUUUCUCUCUCACUUUUCCCCCCAGAGAGUGGAAUGGAAGUGACUUUUUCUCUCUUCUAUUUGCUGUCUUAAGCUGGAAAUUGCAUGAAGCAUGAUCUGCAAGCAACAGAAUGUUAGAAAUUCUUCCUGCUUCUCCAUGCUCUUGAUUUGGAGGCAGGAAAGGACCGUGAAUGUUGCAAUGGAAUGCAUUUGAAGGCAAGGGCCACAGGUGAGGAGUGUAUAUGGUUUUGUGUGUGUGCACAUACAUGGGUGCCAUCCAUGAGGCUCCUUUCGGAAUGUCUCUUUUCCCCUAAUCUCCACUCCUAGCCUCUUUCACUUCCCCUUCCUCGCAAUUACUCUUUAUUCCCAAGAGAGGAUUACACAGAAGACAGCCUCUCCAUGAAGCAUCUUCCAAGUGGCUGAUACUACGAAGACUCCAUGAAGUCCCACUUACCAGCACAGGAUGGAACAGAUCCUAUGUCAAUACAUCCAGAAUUUUGGCUAGAAAAUGUUAGCUAAUUUUUGUGUUUCCCCAAACUGGUUCUUAGAAAUCCAAGUCUUGACUUUUAAAACUUGUCUCUGAGUUUUAAGGGCUCAUUUUGGAAUGUAAAAGAUAAUCACUGUUUUGAUUGUUUUAAUGUUCUACAAUCGUGAUUUGGGGUCAUGAGAAAACCUCAUUGUCCUAGAGUGAAAAUAAUUUGAGUUUUGUGCUUCAAUAUUUCAUUCCACUUCUUUGAGUAUUUGGAUAAAUGCCCAUGAAUUAAGUAAGAACCAAUGACAGCCUUAGAGUCAUGAUUUCUUUAUUUAAUUUUUCAGCUGCUUCUCUUUGCAAACAACAACAACAAACCAACCCCAAGCCCACAGAUGGCGUUAGUCAUCCUAAUAAUACACAUCAAUUAAAACUGUGAGUCGGGAUCCAGCCUCAUUUGCUUUGAGCAACAGGACACACUCAGGAGGCACCUGAGGAGCCCAUCAAUCUGUCGCCGGAAAGGGGAGAGGUGGCAGGAGAAAGGAAGUAAUUGGAUUGUGCUUCAGUGGGACUUUUUCUCUAGCUGGAAGCGUAGCUGGAGAAAUACGAAGCAGAGCCAUCCCUGAGGUCAGCCAGAGCUGCCAGCCUGCAUUCAAUGUCCCAUCAGUUCAGUUGUGUGAAGAAAUCAUCGGCUUGAUCAGCUUCAUUUUAGAAGCUUUCUGAUAUGCUGGGAUUUUUUUUUUAUAUUGUUUCCUGAGCUUUUGGAAUCCUGACAAGGAUUUAUCCAUGUGGUGAAUGUGCAUCUGGCUAAUUCUUCUGUUGUAUCCUGUCCAGAGUGUAUCCACUAUGUGAUUCUUACAACCCCAGUUAUAGGCACCAUUGUUGGCUCAAGACUUUGCUGCUACAAACAACACUGUGAGGACCAUUCUUUUCCAUGCCCCUAUACCAUCAUGGAGACACCAUCAUGUAGGAAAUGUGAACCUUUUACCCAUCUCUUCAGGACUCCCGAAGACAGAGAUGAGCCUUCUGUUCCCAGUGAUCACAGGGCCCCAGGAUGAAGCUAGCCUCAAGAUAAUAAAUCAGAGAGUAAAAUAAUUUUGCAACAUGCAGCUCUGGAAAGGGGAGUCAUUGAAGCAUAGGAAAAAAAUGGAAGCCCACCUUCAUUUCUUUUUCCUGCUAAAAAAUAGCUCGUUGGUCUUCAUUGGUCCAAGUUUUCUGCUCUGGGUGA